rnacentral:lncRNA from 1 species
AUCCAAUUUACUUUACCAUAAGUUGACGUGUCCCGAUGUAAGUGAGGUAGCAAUAUUACGGUUGCAGAUGCGAAAAUGAUUAAAAUAUAUAAUACAUUACCUUCACAUGAAUGGCAUGUUAAUUUUUAAUCAACUAAAUUGUGUUAUGGAACUUGGUAGUCACAAUAACAAAGUUCAAACUGAAACUUGCAUAGUUAAGAUUUGAAAAUCAAAAUAUCACAUGCCUUGUAGCUUGAGAAUCAAAAGUGUGAUUUAGCCAAAAACUAUGUAAAAUAAUCGUUUUCUUAGAAAGUUUAAGCGGCUAGAAAAUUAUAUUUUCAAAUUUUAUUCAACAGAAAAAGAAUCAAUCAAUUGAAUUUAGUAUAAUGUUUUUCUUUUCAAAAACUAAAUAAAUUGUUGAAUACUACUAUGUGAUAAUUUCAGUUUUUGGAGAGUAACUAUUAUUUUAUAUUCUUAGUAUUAUAUCAGUGUUCAAAUUUUGGGUUCAAAUUUGUUCAUAUAUUUUUGGAGAAUGACAAUAAUAUUAUAUCUUUUAGAGUUAAUUUCAUACAUGUUCCUGCAAAUAUAGUGAAUGACAAAUAUAUCCCUAUAAAAUUCAACUUUCAUAUAUUAUUCCUACAAAAGUCUUGAUGUUUUCAAAUAUAUUAAUGCCGUUAGAAUCCGUUAAAAAAAAACUAGUUAACCAUAGGUUAAAAACUUAAUAUUGGUUAGUUUUUGACAUUUUUACCCCUUUUAUAUUAUACUAUUACAACUUUUGGAGGGAUAUAUUUAUAAUGAAAAAAUUGAAAAUAUAAAUAGUUCUUUAAGGAUUUUCUAACGGUAACAAAUCAGAGAGAUAUAUUUAAAAAUAUUAGAACAUUUGCAGGAAUAACAUAUGAACGUUGAACUUUGUAAAAAUAUAUUUGUCGUUCAUUACAUUUGCAGGGAUCGGUAUGAAAUUAAUCCUAUUUUUAAAUACCGACAAGACAUUAACCAAAAAAAAAACUAUUUUUAGCAGCCUAAGCGUAGCUACUUCGUUUACUAUUGCCACAUUGCAAAUUGAUCGCUUUUUUUUUUUCGCUUAAUUUUUUAUUUUUAAGUUUUUUGAAUAUCUUUUAUUUGAUAUUUAGAGUCUGUUUGCUGUUGAAGUUUAUCUUAAUGUUAAUAGACGAAAUAAAAUUAGAGUAAAAGUAUAUGAAAAUAUAUAUUUUUGUAUUUUCUAAUAAAACAGCAGAAACUAUAUUAUGCACGAUCAACUUAUAACGAUAUGAAAGCGACCGACCGUCCCUAGAGCAAGUGGCAAAAGGCUUGGUGGUUGGUACCCGAGACCCAAUUUUGAUUCACAUUUCCAGCUAAGUUUAUUUCUAAAUGAAAUAAAACGAAGCGGAUAGCAUAAUACCUAUUUCUCAAAAAAAAAAAAAAAAAA